rnacentral:rRNA from 1 species
AGCGAACGUUAGCGGCGGGCUUAACACAUGCAAGUCGAACGAGAAAGUGGGCUUCGGCCCGCGAGUAAAGUGGCAGACGGGUGCGUAACACGUGGGUAAUCAACCUUGUGGCGGGGGACAACCUUCCGAAAGGAGGGCUAAUACCGCGUAAGUCCGGCGGGUCUUCGGAUCUGCCGGGGAAAGGGGGCGGCAAGCCUCUCACCAUAAGACGAGCCCGCCGUCCCACUCAGCUAGUUGGUGGAGGUAACGG